rnacentral:tRNA from 1 species
GAGGCAAAUUUGUUGCAGUGAUCGAGGGCUUCUAACUCUUGUUUUGGGAGGUUUAAUUCCUUUCUUGCUUUU